rnacentral:rRNA from 1 species
UACGUAGGGGGCAAGCGUUGUCCGGAAUCAUUGGGCGUAAAGGGCGUGUAGGCGGCCCGAUAAGUCCGCUGUGAAAGUCCAGGGCUCAACCCUGGAAUGCCGGUGGAUACUGUCGGGCUCGAGUCCGGAAGAGGUGAGUGGAAUUCCUGGUGUAGCGGUGAAAUGCGUAGAUAUCAGGAGGAACACCUGUGGCGAAAGCGGCUCACUGGACCACAACUGACGCUGAGGCGCGAAAGCUAGGGGAGCAAACAGG